rnacentral:rRNA from 1 species
AACGAACGCUGGCGGCAUGCCUAACACAUGCAAGUCGAACGAGACCUUCGGGUCUAUUGGCGCACGGGUGCGUAACGCGUGGGAACCUGCCCUUAUGUUCGGAAUAACUCCCCGAAAGGGGUGCUAAUACCGGAUAAUGUCUUCGGACCAAAGAUUUAUCGCCUUUGGAUGGGCCCGCGUUGGAUUAGCUAGUUGGUAGGGUAAAAGCCUACCAAGGCGACGAUCCAUAGCUGGUCUGAGAGGAUGAUCAGCCACACUGGGACUGAGACACGGCCCAGACUCCUACGGGAGGCAGCAGUGGGGAAUAUUGGACAAUGGGCGAAAGCAUGAUCCAGCAAUGCCGCGUGAGUGAUGAAGGCCUUAGGGUUGUAAAGCUCUUUUAACCGGGAUGAUAAUGACAGUACCGGGAGAAUAAGCUCCGGCUAACUCCGUG